rnacentral:rRNA from 1 species
GGUUAAGUUAAUAAGGGCGCACGGUGGAUGCCUUGGCACUAGAAGCCGAUGAAGGACGUGACUAACAAACGAAAUGCUUUGGGGAGCUGUAAGUGAGCAAUGAUCCAGAGAUGUCCGAAUGGGGGAACCCGGCAGGUAAUGCCUGUCACUCAUUACUGUUAAGGUAAUGUAGAGGAAGACGCAGUGAACUGAAACAUCUAAGUAGCUGCAGGAAGAGAAAGCAAAAGCGAUUGCCUUAGUAGCGGCGAGCGAAACGGCAAGAGGGCAAACCGAAGAGUUUACUCUUCGGGGUUGUAGGACUGCAACGUGGACUUAAAGAUUAUAGAAGAACUACCUGGGAAGGUAGGCCAAAGGGAGUAAUAGCCUCGUAAUUCGAAAUAGUCUUUAUACCUAGCAGUAUCCUGAGUACGGCGAGACACGAGAAAUCUCGUCGGAAUCUGGGAGGACCAUCUCCCAACCCUAAAUACUCUCUAGUGACCGAUAGUGAACCAGUACCGUGAGGGAAAGGUGAAAAGCACCCCGGGAGGGGAGUGAAAUAGAACCUGAAACCGUGUGCCUACAACAAGUUCAAGCCCGUUAAUGGGUGAGAGCGUGCCUUUUGUAGAAUGAACCGGCGAGUUACGAUAUGAUGCGAGGUUAAGUUGAAGAAACGGAGCCGUAGGGAAACCGAGUCUUAAUAGGGCGCAUUAGUAUCAUGUCGUAGACCCGAAACCAUGUGACCUACCCAUGAGCAGGUUGAAGGUGAGGUAAAACUCACUGGAGGACCGAACCAGGGCACGUUGAAAAGUGCUUGGAUGACUUGUGGGUAGCGGAGAAAUUCCAAACGAACUUGGAGAUAGCUGGUUCUCUCCGAAAUAGCUUUAGGGCUAGCGUCGAUGUUAAGUCUCUUGGAGGUAGAGCACUGUUUGGGUGAGGGGUCCAUCCCGGAUUACCAAUCUCAGAUAAACUCCGAAUGCCAAUGAGAUAUAAUCGGCAGUCAGACUGCGAGUGCUAAGAUCCGUAGUCGAAAGGGAAACAGCCCAGACCACCAGCUAAGGUCCCAAAAUAUAUGUUAAGUGGAAAAGGAUGUGGGGUUGCACAGACAACUAGGAUGUUAGCUUAGAAGCAGCUAUUCAUUCAAAGAGUGCGUAAUAGCUCACUAGUCGAGUGACCCUGCGCCGAAAAUGUACCGGGGCUAAAACAUAUUACCGAAGCUGUGGAUACCUUUAUAGGUAUGGUAGGAGAGCGUUCUAUGUGCGAAGAAGGUGUACCGUGAGGAGUGCUGGAGCGCAUAGAAGUGAGAAUGCCGGUAUGAGUAGCGAAAGACAGGUGAGAAUCCUGUCCACCGUAAGACUAAGGUUUCCAGGGGAAGGCUCGUCCGCCCUGGGUUAGUCGGGACCUAAGGAGAGACCGAAAGGUGUAUCCGAUGGACAACAGGUUGAUAUUCCUGUACUAGAGUAUAUAGUGAUGGAGGGACGCAGUAGGCUAACUAAACCAGACGAUUGGAAGUGUCUGGCCAAGCAGUGAGGUGUGAUAUGAGUCAAAUGCUUAUAUCUCUAACAUUGAGCUGUGAUGGGGAGCGAAGUUUAGUAGCGAAGUUAGUGAUGUCACACUGCCGAGAAAAGCUUCUAGCGUUAAUUAUACUCUACCCGUACCGCAAACCGACACAGGUAGUCGAGGCGAGUAGCCUCAGGUGAGCGAGAGAACUCUCGUUAAGGAACUCGGCAAAAUGGCCCCGUAACUUCGGGAGAAGGGGCGCUGACUGAUGGUCAGCCGCAGUGAAUAGGCCCAAGCAACUGUUUAUCAAAAACACAGCUCUCUGCUAAAUCGUAAGAUGAUGUAUAGGGGGUGACGCCUGCCCGGUGCUGGAAGGUUAAGAGGAGUGCUUAGCGUAAGCGAAGGUAUGAAUUGAAGCCCCAGUAAACGGCGGCCGUAACUAUAACGGUCCUAAGGUAGCGAAAUUCCUUGUCGGGUAAGUUCCGACCCGCACGAAAGGCGUAAUGAUUUGGGCACUGUCUCAACGAGAGACUCGGUGAAAUUUUAGUACCUGUGAAGAUGCAGGUUACCCGCGACAGGACGGAAAGACCCCAUGGAGCUUUACUGCAGUUUGAUAUUGAGUAUCUGUACCACAUGUACAGGAUAGGUAGGAGCCUAUGACCUCGGGACGCCAGUUUCGAGUGAGGCGUUGUUGGGAUACUACCCUUGUGUUAUGGCUACUCUAACCCAGAUAGGUUAUCCCUAUCGGAGACAGUGUCUGACGGGCAGUUUGACUGGGGCGGUCGCCUCCUAAAAGGUAACGGAGGCGCCCAAAGGUUCCCUCAGAAUGGUUGGAAAUCAUUCGCAGAGUGUAAAGGUAUAAGGGAGCUUGACUGCGAGAGCUACAACUCGAGCAGGGACGAAAGUCGGGCUUAGUGAUCCGGUGGUUCCGUAUGGAAGGGCCAUCGCUCAACGGAUAAAAGCUACCCUGGGGAUAACAGGCUUAUCUCCCCCAAGAGUUCACAUCGACGGGGAGGUUUGGCACCUCGAUGUCGGCUCGUCGCAUCCUGGGGCUGUAGUCGGUCCCAAGGGUUGGGCUGUUCGCCCAUUAAAGCGGCACGCGAGCUGGGUUCAGAACGUCGUGAGACAGUUCGGUCCCUAUCCGUCGCGGGCGUAGGAAAUUUGAGAGGAUCUGCUCCUAGUACGAGAGGACCAGAGUGGACUUACCGCUGGUGUACCAGUUGUUCUGCCAAGAGCAUCGCUGGGUAGCUAUGUAGGGAAGGGAUAAACGCUGAAAGCAUCUAAGUGUGAAGCCCACCUCAAGAUGAGAUUUCCCAUGAUUUUAUAUCAGUAAGAGCCCUGAGAGAUGAUCAGGUUGAUAGGUUAGAAGUGGAAGUGUGGUGACACAUGUAGCGGACUAAUACUAAUAGCUCGAGGACUUAUCCAA